AACCCUAGAUCUGACUCAUUCAUUUCAUUCAUUUCUUCUAAAAAAUUCUCUCACUCGCCUCACACUCUUUCACCUUCCUCUUCAAACCCUAGUGCCGCCGCCGCCUCUAACCACCACCACCUCACCAUCAAAUCCUCCUACCAACAUGAAUCACCACUUUCCAACUUGAUUCCCUUUGUUUUACGCCUUUCUCUGUCAAUACACGCAGAAAAAUGGAGGCAAAUCCUGAAACUCUCUCUCAGUCACUAACACCACCGUAGAGCCGUAAAUCGCCGUCGUUUAACACGCAGUCACCACCACAUCUAACCCUUACGACUCACUUAAUCUCGUAUCUUAGCCUCUCAUUCACAAUCGAACUUCGAACCCAGAUCUUGAUCGUUCCUUGAUCUUGUUGACUCUCUCUGUGUUACUACACGCUCAAAUCAAAGAUCUAAAGAUUUGAAGGUACAUAUAGUUUUGUCCCAUGUAGAUGGUGCUUCAUUUGAAUUAUUUUGAUAUUGAACAAUACAUUAUAUAAUGCAUAAUGCUGCUACAUCUGAUACUAUAGACUUUUAUUUUCCAUCUGGAUGACUGUACUAAUUUAAAUCUUUACAAUGGUCUGCAAUGUUAUUUAUGCAUCUCCUAUCCUUCUUUAUAUGUAUUGUGUGUUGUAUUGAUAAUUUUAACUUGUUAGUUUUAAUCUAGUACAAAUUUAAAUGUCA